rnacentral:rRNA from 1 species
AGUGAACGCUGGCGGUAGGCCUAACACAUGCAAGUCGAACGGCAGCACAGUAAGAGCUUGCUCUUACGGGUGGCGAGUGGCGGACGGGUGAGGAAUACAUCGGAAUCUACUUUUUCGUGGGGGAUAACGUGGGGAAACUUACGCUAAUACCGCAUACGACCUACGGGUGAAAGCAGGGGAUCUUCGGACCUUGCGCGAUUGAAUGAGCCGAUGUCGGAUUAGCUAGUUGGCGGGGUAAAGGCCCACCAAGGCGACGAUCCGUAGCUGGUCUGAGAGGAUGAUCAGCCACACUGGAACUGAGACACGGUCCAGACUCCUACGGGAGGCAGCAGUGGGGAAUAUUGGACAAUGGGCGCAAGCCUGAUCCAGCCAUGCCGCGUGGGUGAAGAAGGCCUUCGGGUUGUAAAGCCCUUUUGUUGGGAAAGAAAAGCAGAAGGUUAAUACCCCGCUGUUCUGACGGUACCCAAAGAAUAAGCACCGGCUAACUUCGUG